UUCACAAUCAUACUCCCAAGAGUGAAACCGAAGAACAGGGCUUAUUUGAUCGUGUCCGAAAUAAAAAUGCUGAGAAUAAUGAGGCUCAAACCGAUGGCUUGCUUGCAAAACCCCACAUAACUGAUAUUAGUUCCGUCUUUUACAGUUGACUGUAGAUGAAGAAGAGAAAAA